rnacentral:rRNA from 1 species
GAAGCCCUACGGGGCGCAGCAGUGGGGAAUAUUGGGCAAUGGGCGCAAGCCUGACCCAGCGACGCCGCGUGAGGGAAGACGGUCUUCGGAUUGUAAACCUCUUUCAGCAGGGAAGACAAAAGGACGGUACCUGUAGAAGAAGCCACGGCUAACUACGUGCCAGCAGCCGCGGUAAUACGUAGGUGGCAAGCGUCAUCCGGAAUUACUGGGUGUAAAGGGUGUGUAGGCGGGUUUGCAAGUCAGGUGUGAAAAUUAUGGGCUCAACCCAUAACCUGCGUCUGAAACUACAGAUCUUGAGAGUGGGG